CCAACCUCUCACCGCAGUUCUGCGCUCCCGCGCUCCCGCGCUCUCGCGCCGCUUUGUCUGAGCACCUUCGACGCCCGAGCCCCGGAAGCCGUCUGCGAAGGGAGGGUGGAGGCCCAGGAGUGGGCCGUGCCCGAGAGGCGGCGGGAGAAGCCACGCCUGGCAGGCUCUUUGAGGCGCGGCUCUGUGAGGUGGCCUUGGCUCCGGCCUGGCCGGCUGCCGCCUCUCCUGGCGCCAUCUCCCGAGCCGCUGUCGAGGGCCCAGCUGGUGACAAAGGCCGCACUGUAAAUCCCGGGUUUGGGCAAGGGUUGGAGUCCAAGCCCCUCCUUAUUAGGCCUCCAACCUCCCCCUGGUCAUAGCUGCACAAAGUGUAAUCAUAAGAAAACAUCAGAGAAACCCCAGUUGAGGGAUGUUAUGCGCAAUACAUCACCAGUACUCCUCAAAAAAAGUUAUCAAGGACAAGGAAAGUUUGAGAAAUUUUCAUAACCAAGAGGAGCCUACGGAGAUAUUACAACUAACUGUAAUAUAGUAUUUUGCUUGGGAUCCUGGAACAGUAAAACAGAUAUAAGACCUUCCCUGAGUGAAGAACAAUUUACUAUGAAGUGACCUACAAUAGCAACACUCAGAAUUCUCUCAAAUCACAUUGGGCAGUGCAAUCAGCUCUCAGGUAUUUGCUUGAGAACUCGC